GUUAUUUUUAGUGGUACAUCCAUUCGGAAGGUCUCUUCUUUCUUAUAUGGCUUUAAAGGUAUGCUGAAAAUUGGCAUGAAGAAAGGUGAUACCUGGUUUGUAAGAGGUUAAACUUAAGAUAAAAAAUUUAGAAAGCUAUGGAAAUUGCAAAAUUUGGUUGAACAGAUAGGGACUUUUAAUUGGUUGUCUGACACCAAUAGGUGUCCGGAUAUUGUUUCCAUCAUCAGACUGACUUUUAGUCAUAGAUAAGCUUUCCGGUUUUAAAC
rnacentral:lncRNA from 1 species